rnacentral:tRNA from 1 species
GCCCUGGUGGCACAAUGGUUAAGUGCUCAGCUAUUACCUGAAAGGUUGGUGGUUUGAAUCCACCCAGCAGCU